ACAAAAAGCUAAAGCUUUUGGUGGUAUACGAUGGAUCCGCGUCUGAUUAGCUGGUUGGCGGGGUAAAGGCCCACCAAGGCGACGAUCAGUAGCCGGCCUGAGAGGGUGAACGGCCACAUUGGGACUGAGACACGGCCCAAACUCCUACGGGAGGCAGCAGUGGGGAAUAUUGCACAAUGGGGGAAACCCUGAUGCAGCGACGCCGCGUGAGUGAAGAAGUAUUUCGGUAUGUAAAGCUCUAUCAGCAGGGAAGAAAAUGACGGUACCUGACUAAGAAGCCCCGGCUAACUACGUGCCAGCAGCCGCGGUAAUACGUAGGGGGCAAGCGUUAUCCGGAUUUACUGGGUGUAAAGGGAGCGUAGACGGCAGCGCAAGUCUGGAGUGAAAUCCCAUGGCUUAACCAUGGAACUGCUUUGGAAACUGUGCAGCUGGAGUGCAGGAGAGGUAAGCGGAAUUCCUAGUGUAGCGGUGAAAUGCGUAGAUAUUAGGAGGAACACCAGUGGCGAAGGCGGCUUACUGGACUGUAACUGACGUUGAGGCUCGAAAGCGUGGGGAGCAAACAGGAUUAGAUACCCUGGUAGUCCACGCUGUAAACGAUGAUUACUAGGUGUUGGGG
rnacentral:rRNA from 1 species